rnacentral:rRNA from 1 species
UACGUAGGUGGCAAGCGUUGUCCAGAAUUACUGGGCGUAAAGGGCGUGUAGGUGGUCAAACAAGUCUGAUGUGAGACCCCGGAGCUUAACUUCGGGCAUGCAUAUGAAACUGUAUGACUUGAGGGCAAGAGAGGAAAGUGGAAUUCCUAGUGUAGCGGUGAAAUGCGUAGAUAUUAGGAGGAACACCAGUGGCGAAGGCGACUUUCUGGAUUGACCCUGACACUGAGGCGCGAAAGCGUGGGGAGCCAACAGGAUUAGAUACCCUGGUAGUCCACGCCGUAAACGAUGGGUACUAGGUGUUGGAGGUAUCGACCCCUUCAGUGCCGGAGUAAACGCAUUAAGUACCCCGCCUGGGGAAUACGGCCGCAAGGCUGAA